rnacentral:rRNA from 1 species
AGCGAACGCUGGCGGCAGGCCUAACACAUGCAAGUCGAACGCCCAGCAAUGGGAGUGGCAGACGGGAUAGUAACACGUGGGAACGCGCCCUUCGGUUCGGAAUAACUCAGGGAAACUUGAGCUAAUACCGGAUACGCCCUUACGGGAAAGAUUUAUUGCCGAAGGAACGGCCCGCGUCGGAUUAGCUAGUUGGUGAGGUAAUGGCUCACCAAGGCGACGAUCCGUAGCUGGUCUGAGAGGAUGACCAGCAUCACUGGGACUGAGACACGGCCCAGACUCCUACGGGAGCAGCAGUGGGGAAUAUUGGACAAUGGGCGCAAGCCUGAUCCAGCCAUGCCGCGUGGAUGAUGAAGGCCC